rnacentral:rRNA from 1 species
AUUUUGCCUUCGGGUACAAUUGAGACGAGGUGGUGCAUGGUUGUCGUCAGCUCGUGUCGUGAGAUGUUGGGUUAAGUCCCGCAACGAGCGCAACCCUUGUGUUUUAGUUGCAAACAGGUCAAGCUGUGCACUCUAGACAGACUGCCGUGGACAACACGGAGGAAGGUGGGGAUGACGUCAAAUCAUCAUGCCCCUUAUGAUCUGGGCUACACACGUGCUACAAUGGCCGGUACAACGGGCAGCGAAGGAGCGAUCCGGAGCGAAUCCUAAAAAGCCGGUCCCAGUUCGGAUUGCAGGCUGAAACUCGCCUACAUGAAGUUGGAGUUGCUAGUAAUCGCGAAUCAGAAUGUCGCGGUGAAUGCGUUCCCGGGUCUU